rnacentral:pre_miRNA from 1 species
GUUACGGGUAUGGGAGGAUUGGACAGUACUGCUUGGUUUUAAUUAACCAAAGUCUGUUCUUUCCAACGCCUCCCAUACCGGUAAU